AAUGGUCCAUUUACACUCGGCAUGCUUCACCGCAGUACAUUGCGUAUGCUUGACCGCGUAGCACGCAUGCGUUGCGGCGAAGCUGAUAGUAGGGAACCGGGCAUUAUGCAGCGCUCGAGCCUAGCUUCUUGUCAGUGACUGCGGAUGGAAAACACAUACACGUUCAAGAGCUUUUCGUCGAUCUUUACACCUCUUUAUUGAAUGAAAAUGAUAACGUACGCCUGUGUCCGUGAGUUAAAAGAUCGAUAAAGACUCUGGGCACUUACUUGCAGUGUGUGAAAAAUAGAGAACUUUAUUUAUGCAGGUGUCCAUGCUCCUGCAGUCCUGUGGUGACCCUGUGGAGCUGGAUCCGGCCUCGUGGAAACACAGCCGGCUCAUCAGUCACAAAUGCAUGCCUCCUCGGGCGGAUGACACGAAGCAACUGCCUGCUGCCAUCAUGUGCCUAAUGUACUUAAAGCGAGCAAUAAAGAGAGAAUUUAGUUUCGCA